rnacentral:rRNA from 1 species
CACGUAGGGAGCAAGCGUUGUCCGGAUUUAUUGGGCGUAAAGAGCUCGUAGGUGGUUCGGUAAGUCAGGUGUGAAACCUCCAGGCUCAACCUGGAGACGCCACUUGAUACUGCUGUGACUGGAGUCCGGUAGGGGAGCGUGGAAUUCCUGGUGUAGCGGUGAAAUGCGCAGAUAUCAGGAGGAACACCGGUGGCGAAGGCGGGUCUCUGGGCCGAUACUGACGCUGAGGAGCGAAAGCGUGGGGAGCGAACAGG